CAGAUGCAUCAAAAAGUUUAGUUAAUAAGAUAGGAGUAUCAGUUAUUGUUCCAGAGUUUAAAAUUACAAUAGGAAAGAGGAUCAGUGAUAACAUAUCAGUAUACACAGGAGAAAUGGUAGCAAUUCUGUUGGCAGUACAAUGGGUAGAGGAAAUAAGACCACUGAGAGUAAUGAUUUAUUCAGAUUCAUCUUCAUCAUUAAUCAGUUUACAGAGAAGUCAUUCAGAUAGUAGACCAGAUAUUUUAAUAGAAAUCCAGCAAACAUUGUUCAGAAUUCAAAUAAUGGGAAUUACAGUUAUAUUUUUGUGGGUACCAGCACAUAUGGGAAUAAAAGGAAAUGAAAUGGCAGAUAAGGUUGCAAAGGAGGCUACAAUUAGAGAAAACAUUGAUAUCUCAAUUAAAGUUAGUAAGAUGGAAGUAAAGAGCAUUAUUAAACAGAAGAUGAAGGAAAGGUGGCAAAAGCAAUGGGAGGAAGAGAGGAAAGGACGGUGGCUGUACAUGAUUCAGAGGAGAGUGGGAGAAAUGAGUUGUGCAGGGAGGAGCAGAGGGGAAGAAACAAUCAUAUCAAGACUUAGAUUUGGGCACACAGGAUUAAAUGGAACAUUAUUCAAAAUAGGGAAGCAUAACACUGGAAGAUGUGAGUAUUGUGGGGAACAAGAAACAGUUGAGCAUAUUAUGAUAUACUGUAAGAAAUAUGAAGAAGAAAGAAGGGAAAUGGUUAAAAAUUUAAAAAGGAAAAGAAUAACAUUUGAUUUAAUAGAAAUGCUUAGAGGUAAUUCAAGAGAUGAGUGUUAUGGGAUUAUGUUUCAUUAUCUUAGACUAAGUAAUUUAAUUGAUAGGAUUUAAUUUAAUUUAAUUUUUUUUUUUUUUUUUGGGUGUUUGUUUUGUUUUGGUAGUUUGGUUUAAUUUAUUUGAGGUAGUAUAAGUCAUUCUGACCCACACUCCAAACCAGUUGGUGGCGGUAAUGCACCGUUUCGUUGCGUGCCAACCGCCAGAAAAAAACCAUAAAGAAGAAGAAGAAGAAGAGCACAAGAUGAACAUAAAACAACGUAUAGCUCCUACACUUGCUGUUUACAUUUGGUUAUAAAAUCUGUGGAUUUGUUUAUUUACAGGUUUGCACUGCAAAACUUUCAUUUUUCCCUUUCAUUAAUCCUCUUUAUUACCAUCUCAGCUGGAUUUAGUGGGUGUAAUGAAUUAGAUGAAGGUGGACCCAGAAUUCAGCCAAAACAAGCGAGCCUGCCCGACCCCGAUCUGACUCAGUCUGCCUGCCUGAGACCUGCUCUGUUGGCUUUUGGACCCUGGAACCUGCACGACCUGGAUU